AGAACGUGAGAUGGCGACCUUCCGCGACAGGGCGGUGUCGGGCACGAAGAGGUGCGGACGCCCGCCCUUCCGAGCCCCACCCACUUCGAGACUCGCCCCUGGCCGCUGAGGAGCUCGCCCUGCUACAUUUGGGGGCCUCGUGAGGAUGGCGUGGAGACAAAGGGCACUUCAGGCUCUUCGGCCCAGGAGAAUAGAGACCAAUUGCUGUACUUUGGAUGGCUGCUUGCAAGCUUUUAAGACCCGGGCACUAUGGGACAAUGCAGUGUUUUUGAAAGGAGAAUCUACAACGUUAAGGUCUGAUAAUUUGGCUUAUCCUGAGAAAAAUCAGGACUACAUUCUUUCCAGCUUAUUGAAGAUAUUAGACUGAAGAAAUGAAAUCUUGCCAAUGAAAAAUUCUGAUGGCCUCCAAAACAGAAACUCCCACUGCUCAGCCCCAGACUCUGCCCAUGUAAGAGUGAAAAUAUCUAAGAGCAAUCAUAUUGGAUAUAUGUUGAAGUUGAGGAUGGGUAGUUUUUAUUGUUCAAGAAAGAGCUGAUAUUUUGGAAAAAGAGAGGCACCAACAAAAGUAAUGAUGGUGAAGAAUAAGUACUUGCAUGGAAAAAUGGUCCAUCUUGUAACUGUGUUCUAGUUAAUAGAAAUAACCAUGAAUGAAAUAAAGCUUACAACUUCCCUUUCUCCCUACUUUAAGGGCACAAUCCCUAAUAAAGAUGGGAACCUUCUACCUUCAAACUUCUGACCUCAAACCCCAACUCCUUUAACUCCCAAAUGCACAUUUUCAGUUUCUUACUGUAUACUUUUCUACCUCUCCCACUGACAUGAGCUUAAAUUAUGAAGGCACUAACAAAAAAUGUUCUAACCUGAACGCAAAUUAACCAAGUAUUGCCCCAGGAGCUUAAAGAUCUUAUGAUGUCUUCAUAACAAUCCUCUCACAAUAAUUAUGAGUUUCUACAAUUAUUUAUAAAAAUGUAAAGAUGUAUAUUUGGUUAAGGAUACUAAGUUUGUGAAUGUCACUACACAAUGAAUUAAGCAAACUUUUAUUGAAGCAUAAAUCGUGGUAAAGAAAUACAUUUCAACUGAUUUAAGUCCAACACCAUGAAGGGAGAAAUAUGGCACACCAAAACUUCCCCUCCUCUAUCAUUAACUCAGAUUACUAUCCAAUGUAUAGGUUUCCUUUUGCUAGGCUUUUUUUUACAUACAAAUUUGCACUUUUUCAACAUUAAAAUUUUAAAAUCUAUUAAAAAAAAAAAAACAGACCUCAAGCCAA